rnacentral:rRNA from 1 species
UAGGGAAUCUUCGGCAAUGGGGGGAACCCUGACCGAGCAACGCCGCGUGAGUGAAGAAGGUUUUCGGAUUGUAAAGCUCUGUUGUUAAGGAAGAACGAGUGUGAGAAUGGAAAGUUCAUACUGUGACGGUACUUAACCAGAAAGGGACGGCUAACUACGUGCCAGCAGCCGCGGUAAUACGUAGGUCCCGAGCGUUGUCCGGAUUUAUUGGGCGUAAAGCGAGCGCAGGCGGUUAGAUAAGUCUGAAGUUAAAGGCAGUGGCUCAACCAUUGUAGGCUUUGGAAACUGUUUAACUUGAGUGCAGAAGGGGAGAGUGGAAUUCCAUGUGUAGCGGUGAAAUGCGUAGAUAUAUGGAGGAACACCGGUGGCGAAAGCGGCUCUCUGGUCUGUAACUGACGCUGAGGCUCGAAAGCGUGGGGAGCGAACAGG